CUCAGAGUCUCCAGUCUACAGUGUGGACUCUCCACAAGAUCAGACAGCAGCUUCACUCCUGAAUCCUGCAGAUUGUUGUCACUCAGGUUCAGCUCUCUCAGAUGGGAGGGGUUGGACUUCAGAGCUGAGACCAGAUAAUCACAGCUGAUCUCUGACAAACUGCAGUGACUCAAUCUGAAUAAAGAAUAAAAGAUGAAGAUAAAAUCAUUUAUAAUCCAAUCAGAUGUGUUCAGGUUUUAAAUGUGGAGAUCAACAUUACUAUGUCCUAAUCAAUGAGCUUUUCUCUAAAAUGAGUAGAG